rnacentral:rRNA from 1 species
CACGUAGGGCGCAAGCGUUGUCCGGAAUUAUUGGGCGUAAAGAGCUCGUAGGUGGUUUGCUGCGUCCGCUGUGAAAACCCAAGGCUUAACCUUGGGCUUGCAGUGGAUACGGGCAGACUAGAGGUAGGUAGGGGAGAAUGGAAUUCCCGGUGUAGCGGUGAAAUGCGCAGAUAUCGGGAGGAACACCUGUGGCGAAAGCGGCGCACUGGACCAUAAAUGACGCUGAGGCGCGAAAGCUAGGGGAGCAAACAGG